rnacentral:rRNA from 1 species
CCUACGGGAGGCAGCAGUGGGGAAUUUUGGACAAUGGGCGCAAGCCUGAUCCAGCCAUGCCGCGUGCGGGAAGAAGGCCUUCGGGUUGUAAACCGCUUUUGUCAGGGAAGAAAAGGUUCUGGCUAAUACCUGGGACUCAUGACGGUACCUGAAGAAUAAGCACCGGCUAACUACGUGCCAGCAGCCGCGGUAAUACGUAGGGUGCAAGCGUUAAUCGGAAUUACUGGGCGUAAAGCGUGCGCAGGCGGUUAUGCAAGACAGAGGUGAAAUCCCCGGGCUCAACCUGGGAACUGCCUUUGAGACUGCAUGGCUAGAGUACGGUAGAGGGGGAUGGAAUUCCGCGUGUAGCAGUGAAAUGCGUAGAUAUGCGGAGGAACACCGAUGGCGAAGGCAAUCCCCUGGACCUGUACUGACGCUCAUGCACGAAAGCGUGGGGAGCAAACAGGAUUAGAUACCCUGGUAGUCCACGCCCUAAACGAUGUCAACUGGUUGUUGGGAGGGUUUCUUCUCAGUAACGUAGCUAACGCGUGAAGUUGACCGCCUGGGGAGUACAGCCGCAAGGUUGAAACUCAAAGGAAUUGACGG